GACGAAUGCUGGCGGCGUGCUUAACACAUGCAAGUCGAACGGAAAGGCCCUGCUUUUGUGGGGUGCUCGAGUGGCGAACGGGUGAGUAACACGUGAGUAACCUGCCCUUGACUUCGGGAUAACUUCAGGAAACUGGGGCUAAUACCGGAUAGGAGCUCCUGCUGCAUGGUGGGGGUUGGAAAGUUUCGGCGGUUGGGGAUGGACUCGCGGCUUAUCAGCUUGUUGGUGGGGUAGUGGCUUACCAAGGCUUUGACGGGUAGCCGGCCUGAGAGGGUGACCGGCCACAUUGGGACUGAGAUACGGCCCAGACUCCUACGGGAGGCAGCAGUGGGGAAUAUUGCACAAUGGGCGGAAGCCUGAUGCAGCAACGCCGCGUGCGGGAUGACGGCCUUCGGGUUGUAAACCGCUUUCGCCUGUGACGAAGCGUGAGUGACGGUAAUGGGUAAAGAAGCACCGGCUAACUACGUG
rnacentral:rRNA from 1 species